AAGCUCUGAGUGUGAGCAGGGACGGCCGUCUCCUGUCGUGCAACAUCGGUGUUCCGGUGCUCAAGCCUGGGGAUUCAUGUGGGACCUGGACUGUCCCCCACCCACUCUCCACCUCACUUCCAUUCUGGACUUACAAUAAGGCUGACACCACCAGCCCCUCCGGUUUACAGGAUUUUGAACUUUACUGGGUCUUUAGUUUGCAGAUGGCAGAUCCUGUAGCUUCUUGGCCUCCAUAAUUGGGAAUUGGCACUCCUUGAACAGUCUGCCUCCUGUUCCAGUGUUAUUGGGUAAACUUAAAACAGUCCCAGAAGAGAUUCUUGAGCAAGAGACCAUCUCUGUAAAUCACCUGGGAGGUGGAAAUAAGGAGACCACAAAAGACAGAUGUGAUCUGCUGGUGGCCAGAGACACCACCAGUAAACGGACUCACGUGGUAGAGUGAAGACCUGGGUGCUGAGAGCCAUGGCACACAGGAUCACAGCGAGGGCAGCCAUGGGGAUCUUCAUGGUGCUCGGCAGACAAUGAGGUACAACAAGGUGUGCUCAGGGGUCGGCAGAAUGCGGAGGGGAUGAGGUGCUUGUGGCUGCCCGUGUCCUUCUGGCAUCUGAAGCCAUUCCCUCUUCUCUUUAUAGGCAGGCCUGGCAGAUGGGGAAAUGGAAUCUGGGGGUGUCGGGGAAAUUCUUGAGCAUUGCGAUGUUGUCAUGCCACAAAGUUGCACAACUCAGGGUCUCUGGUGCCCACAAAGGUUCAGGAUAUCCAAGAAUAGCAUUUCUGAGCUGUGAGUCUCAGCUCUCAGCUCGUGACUUGCCCUGGCUUCUUGGGGGAAACAGUUUUCCUGCAAGCAGGAGAGGGUUAUUUGCCAACUCAGGGCUAUUCGUAGCUGGCCGCUUCUCAGAAGAAUUGAGCCAUGAAUGGACUAACUCUGGCAUUCUCAUUGCUUUCCCCAGAACAGAAAUCUGGGUUUCCUCAGCCGUUGUAACCACAGACUCUCCUGUUCUGAUGCGAGGACCCGAGGGAAGAAGUCCUGACUGGGAGGAAGCUGAGGUCACAGUCAGUCAUCUGUCCAUUCAUCAAGCAGUCACAGAGUGACCAGGACACUAGGUUAAACACUUAGAGAAACUUUAGAUGUAGGCGUUGAUCUGUCAAGAACUUACAGAUAUUCUUAGAUAAAGCAUUUCUAGGAAAAAAUUCAGCAGAAACAACCCAAAUAGGGAGGCGUCUUCCAACAUAAAGCUUUCUGACUCAGCUGCAUUUAGAACUGAGAUUUGGGGACCCAGACUGUCCUCUCUCAGGGCUUGUGAAGCCAAUUAGAUUAUAUACACUGGUUUGUUGCUUAUUAAUAUCCUUCAAAUAAAUGAAGUGGCAUGAACACACUCAUAACUAGACAGUAACCAACAAGAUCAAGUAUACAGAUUGUAUGAGAUGACUAUACCUGCUCAUGCAUUGCUGAAGGACAGGAACAUGCUCUAAAAAAAAAGUGUUGUUAGGCAAAUUGGUCAUUUGUGCUCACAUCCUGGCAUGUGCUGACACAAGCUGAAAGAACUCCCGUGUCACCAAACGAUGAAGUCAGUGGGACCAUCAUCCAUUUCAUCAUUGACAGAAACUGUUGUGCAGUAAAUGAUUCUAUUUAUACCAAAUAUGCUUUAUAAUCCAACCCUAGG